UAUGGCCUAAAAUCCAAUUACAACAUCAAAUAUACAAACACUCCAAGUUUUCUACACCUAAACUUCUAUGAAUAUCACAAGACUUUGAUUUUCUUCAAGCUUCUACUCCAUGCUCAAGAAACUCUUCCAUUCCUUCAAGCUUUUCUAUGGUUGCCUCCUUCCUCAAGUCUUCAAUCCAUACCAUUUGCAACCAUGCUCUCAACAAACCAUUCAUCACUUGAAACAAGGAAAAGUAAACACAAAUUUGUUAGCAAGCAAUCAUCAAAAAGACAUGAACAAGAAUUGUUAAGCAAGAAAUUUUCAAGCAAGUUUCUUUUCAAUUUCAUCAUUAGGGUUGUGAAGGGAAUCCGAAUUAAGGGUUAUUCAAUCAUGAAUCAAAGCCCAACAUCCAAAGCCUCAUAUAUUUGA